rnacentral:rRNA from 1 species
GACGAACGCUGGCGGCGUGCUUAACACAUGCAAGUCGAACGGAAAGGCCCUGCUUUUGUGGGGUGCUCGAGUGGCGAACGGGUGAGUAACACGUGAGUAACCUGCCCUUGACUUUGGGAUAACUUCAGGAAACUGGGGCUAAUACCGGAUAGGAGCUCCUGCUGCAUGGUGGGGGUUGGAAAGUUUCGGCGGUUGGGGAUGGACUCGCGGCUUAUCAGCUUGUUGGUGGGGUAGUGGCUUACCAAGGCUUUGACGGGUAGCCGGCCUGAGAGGGUGACCGGCAACAUUGGGAGUGAGAUGCGGCCGAGACGCAUGCGGGAGGAAGCAGGGGGGAAUAUGGAAAGAGGGGCGGAGGCUUGAUGCAGCAACGCGGCGGGCGGGAUGAGGGCCUGCGGGUGGGAACCGGCGUGCGCCUGUACAGAAGCGUGCGGGCAGGUAAGGGAAAAGGAGGCCCGGGCAAAUUAGGUG